rnacentral:rRNA from 1 species
AUUGAACGCUGGCGGCAGGCCUAACACAUGCAAGUCGAGCGGGGGUAGCAAUACCCUAGCGGCGAACGGGUGAGGAAUGCUUGGGAAUCUGCCUGGUAGUGGGGGGAUAACGUUCCGAAAGGAACGCUAAUACCGCAUACGUCCUACGGGAGAAAGGGGGGGAUCUUCGGACCUCUCGCUAUCAGAUGAGCCCAAGCGGGAUUAGCUAGUUGGUGGGGUAAAGGCCCACCAAGGCGACGAUCCCUAGCUGGUCUGAGAGGAUGAUCAGCCACACUGGGACUGAGAUACGGCCCAGACUCCUACGGGAGGCAGCAGUGGGGAAUAUUGGACAAUGGGGGGCAACCCUGAUCCAGCAAUGCCGCGUGAGUGAUGAAGGCCUUAGGGUUGUAAAGCUCUUUUGCCAGGGAAGAUGAUGACUGUACCUGGAGAAUAAGCCCCGGCUAACUUCGUGCCAGCAGCCGCGGUAAU